GUAACAUUGCGAUUGCUGCUUCGCUGACCUUUAUUGGCCUCAAAUAAACAUUAGGUUACUGUUUCUUGGUAAUGGUUAUUUAAAUGAGGAAACUUAUUUAAUUAAGAACAGACAUUGUUUGGCUGAACGUACAAAAUAUAACUUCAAUUGCACCGUAAAGUACAUCCAAUACGUCUUAAAACGAAUAUAUAUCCUUACGAUACGCAGCUUAGCCAGCUAGUGUAAAAAGCCCUAAGAUUAAAAUGAUCAACAAAUAAACUAAUUAAAAAUAAAUAAACAUAAAGUGCCAUAAA